GCUGGACAUGGUGGUGCAUGCCUGUAAUCCCAGUGACCUGGGAGGCUGGGAUGUGAGAAUCGAAAGUUCAAGGCCCACCUCACCAAUUUAGUGAGGUCCUAAGCAAAAUAGCAAGACCCUGUCCCAA
rnacentral:sRNA from 1 species